CAAGAAGAUGUUGAGGCAUAUGAUACAACAGCUAUAAAAUUUUGAGGGCUUAAUGCAGUAACCAACUUCGUUAUCUUAAAAUAUGACGUACAACAUAUUAUGGCAAGCAGGUGCAACGCUUGCUCCAAGGAGGAGCCAAAUGUCGUAUGCUGUGAUGCCUUCACAUGGACUUGCAUAUAUUUGCAUUAUCGUUAUUGGUGGACAAACUUUUCUGAAGGGCUUUUCAAAUCAUCCAAGUUCAUGGCCAGGACUUCUGGUGGUAGUGAUCUAGUCUGCCUUUCGUCCAAAAAGAAGACUUGUCCUCCUACUCUAGCUUUUAUCUGUGUACCAUGCUGGAUUUCUACUCCUACACCAAUAUAGAGAUUAACAAAUUCCUGUCUCCACAACCAAACCAAAGUGCAAGAAGAAGUGAAAAUCUGCAAAAGAAGCUCAUCUUUCGAUAAAAGAAAUUCUUCUAUCAACGACGGAAUGAGACACUAAUUAUUAUUACGAGCUUUCUUAGGUGUCGACAACCAAACCAAAUUCUAAGAAGAACCAAAUUCUUAGAAGAAUUGGAAACCUGCAAAAGAAGCUCCUCUAUCAUCGGCCCUAGCAUACGUAGUGCAAGUCAUUUUAAAUGCUAUGAUUCUGUCUAUGAUGGACGU